AUGGCUUUUGAACAGUCAAAAGCAUUUGAGAUUAAAAAAGAAAACAAAUAUCAAAUAGUUAGAUGAACUGGAUGAUUUGUUGUUUGUCUAACGUCUAUAUGGAAAUCUGUCAUGUAUAUUCCAUUUGAAAACAAUUGAAUAAAUCAUGUUCAAAUAACCAUAUGUUCUGUAAAAUUAAUUUGAACUGCAAUUACACAGAUAAGAGGUACAUGUACAUGUAUAUCGGAAAACAUUCUAGUCUUGAGACUUCCACCUUUAUAUAGCACCCCUUAACAUAUUCUCUCCUACAAAAAUAAUGUGAAUUUGAAGGUGCCAUUUCGACUAGACAUAGCUGCGUAUUUUGACAGCCUGCACAACUAAACAGAACUUUUUUCAGGGUAUAUACUACUACUAAAAAGUCUAUAAUACCAAUCUUCUUUACUCCAAUCAACCCUUAUAUGACUGAUUGAUGGUUUCUGUGAUUAGGUUAAUUACCUAAGAAAAAACUUACAUCUAGUUGUCUAACUUUGCAGUAUAACUCACUAUAUUGCUACACAGAAAGCGCAAACUUUACUGGUGACGCCGGUUCUAUCGUUAGAAAAUUAUGUCCAUUUAUUCUAAAGCUUAGCCGAUAGAAUGUUGACCUUUCGCUAUAUAUAUAUGUAUAUGUCAACGUGAUUCAAUAUGAACAAUGUAUUUGUAAUAGUCAUAUAACUGUUUAAUAUAAUAUUAUGAUAUAAUUCUCUUUUAAACAGAAUAAAUGAUACAUGUCCUUGGUUGAGAAUUGUCUCACAACACAUCUUCUUACUUACAUAUGAUGAGUGAAGUAAUAAAUUGAAAUGAAGCAUCAAUUAAAUUCACAAUGACGUUGUAAUACUAUUUAUGACAUGUACGUACUAUUGUAAUAAUAACUGAAGACUGCUGUGUUUACUUAUUAUGUUUAGAUUUAACACUUUAUUCGCUACUUAUGCAAAGUAUUCAGGAUAGUCCUGCUUCCGAAAUAUUUAAUCUUUUUUCCGCAACAAAUUUUAAAAUGUUAUAUAACCGGUUGUGUAUCCGUUCAGGCACAAGUGGUUUGUAGUUUUUGUCUGAGAUCAAGAACAUCUUAAAAUAUUGUUUUUGUACCUGAUGACAUUUUAUAACUAACAGACAAAUAAUGUGAUUUUUUUACCACUCUUCCCGAUCUUAACCUUGAAUUUAGUCUAUACAGGGUCUGAAUUUUGGUGUGGAUUGAUAUAAAAGGUCUUCAAUUUGUUUUCUUCACUCUAUUUUCUAUUAUUAUCAAUUACCAGUCGUACUUCACUAUUGGAACACAUUAUUCUUGUUUUUUUUUUGUAUAAAAGUAAGAAGUCGUGGUUAGAUUGUCUAUAUAGACCACUCUUUACUAGAGACCAAUUGACGUUAACGUUAACAACUAUAGGUCAGCCGGGUUCCAUUGUCAAAAGAAACAACAAAUGUGGUUAGGGGUAUAUGUAGGAGUUUUCGUCUUCAAAAACCCAUUCGUUUGAUGUUUGUAAUCAUAUUUU
rnacentral:lncRNA from 1 species